GUCUACGGCCAUACUACCCUGAACACGCCCGAUCUCGUCUGAUCUCAGAAGCUAAGCAGUGUCAGGCCUGGUUAGUACUUGGAUGGGAGACUUUUGCAGCCUUCUUAAUACUGUUGUGG